GUAAUAGGAUAUGUAUCAAUAUAUCUAUAGCUAUACUGUUCUCCUUGUUCUUUUUUAUUUCCUGUUCUUGAAUCUUGGCGAUCGUGCCAUAGCUGUAUGUGCAGUGCUUCCUCAUUUCUUUUUUCCUGCAUAGUAUUUGACUGUGUGUCUAUAUUAAGGAUUUUCCAAACGGUCCCUUCGUGAUGGACACUUGGGUUAUUUCCAGUUGUUUUAAUCAUCGGUGAUGCCACAGUGAAUAAUCUUAAGCAUGAGUCAUUUUCCAUUUAUGCCUGAUCCCAUUUGGGAUGGAGUCCUAGAAGUGGGGUUGUUCGAUGGAAGGAUGAUAAUAGAUAUAAUUGUGCUCUACUUUGCCAACUUCUCUGCCAAGGGAGUUGUACCAUUCUGACGGCAAAGCCUUUUGUUUGCCCUUUGCCCUUUUUCCAUCUGAAUUUCUAGUCCUCCACUGCCUACCACUGCCCUUCCUGUUCUAGGGAGACACAGAAAUCCUUCACCUGUGUAGCCAGGGAUUUUUAAUCAUAAUCAUUUGGAUACUGAGUAAAUCUAAUUAAAAUUACCAUAGUUUCCUUGUGACCCAAAGGAUUAAGGUGAGCAUUGUCCCUGCAGUGGCUCAGUGCUGCAGUUGUGGGUCCAGUCCCUGGCCUGGGAACUUCCACAUGCUGUGGAUGUGGCCAAAAAAAGAAAAAUAAAUUCUGUAAUGUUAAUUGAUUAGUAAGUUGGUACCUAUGAUAAGACCCACUGUCCGACAUGGUAGCCACUAGCCCCAUGUGGCCAUUUAAGGUCAAGUUGAAUAAAAUGAAGAUGUCAAUGCCUCUGCUGCAUUGGCCACAUUUCAAGAGUUUAGUACGCACAGGACUCUAAUGGCUACCACAGUGGGUAGCACAGUACAAAAUACCACCAUCAUCCCAGAAGGUCCUGCAUCACUGAUACACAACUCAGGGUAACGCUUUGGGGUCACUCUAGUGCCAUUCUGAUGCCUUCCUACAUCUUCCAAAGUAUUACUGGAAACAUAACUCUAUGUGAGAUCAGGCUUAUCUAUCCAUCCGCUAACCCGAUGUCACCACAUAAGAUGCGACCUGCCUCGGCUUCUUCUACGGGGAAAAACCCACCCUCUGUGGCCUUCUGCCGUCUCCUGAAGGCACGUGUGCUGUGGGAGACAGCCUGGACCAACGCCCCCCCCCCCCAAGGUGUAACACAGUGCAAGUACCUUUUUCGGGAAGAGCAUUUAUAGGCCAAAAAAGAUAGAUGGGCACAAUCCGAAAACAAUCACCAGAAGGAUGCUGGUAAUAUUGUAAAGAAGAGGCGGUUUCAUCAACAGCGCCGAAGAGAGCCCGGCACCAAAGGCAUUGAGCUCGGAGGCAAUUUCUGAGUGGAGAACCCAGAUACUUGAGAAAGCACCUUUCCACCUCAAUUUCAGUUUUGAAGGAAAAAGCAAGGGCUGAGCUGCACAAGCAAGGAGGACGCUUGCAAGCUCCCGAAGCUCUGAGGGUUUUCACACAGUGUGGAUGCCCAUAUUGCGAGAUCGGGUGGAGCGGGAUCAUCUGUCAGCCUGUCUGUUCGCAUAGCUGUGCUAUUCAUAGAAAAUGCACCUCCUUCCCCAAAGAAACACCAUAUGCCUCUUCUCUUACCUAAUUGGGCGCAUGUGUCCUAGGGACCUGUGGCAUGCAGGGGGAGGGGAUUGUGCCAGGUGACUCAAGUGGCCACUUGGGAUGCUUCUCUAGAACCUUCCUCACGACGGCAAGAGCAAGAGGGAACCAUAUUAAUGAACACAUCUGAAAUGAGGUUUGACUCCUGCCAUCAAUGGCAUCAUGAGAAAGGAAGUGGAAGAAGACGGGGCCAUCUCUGGGGCUCCUAUGACACUGUCCAUCACUCUUCACGACCCCCUCUGGCCCCCUGGCUCAUCCAGCCCGAGCUACCUGGCUCCCCCCAUUGAAACCCCUUCCUCCCCCCUCCCUCACCAAGCCUGUGUAACUGGACUGUCCACCCAAACAGCGAUGGAGAGAAACACCCACCUGCGGUUCUCAGGGGCUGGGAGGAGGGAACAGCAGGAGUUACUGGUUCACAGACACUAAGUUUCGGUUUGGGACAAUGAGAAAGUUCUAGAGAAGGAGGGCGUGACCGUUGCACCACAAUUUGAAUGGACAAAUUGAAUGCCACUGAAUUGUAUACCUGAACGAGGUAAAACGGUAAAUUUCAUGUCAUGGACAUUUUACCGUAAUAAAGCGUUUUGAAAAACCGCUCCGUGUUGUUGGCUGGUGUCAAUUCAAUUUCAAGGACACAGAUGGCAAGUGGACAUUUGAUCGAGGCCAUCAGUCCUAUGUGCUCCUCUGGUGUUUUCACUUUCUCACUCUCCAAACGACUGUUUCACACUUUCUCCUGUGUCCGCCUACACUCUCACGCCUUUGCUCACCCUCGAGCUGCAAUGAGCAAAUGCAGGGAAAAUGCAGGCUGUGCGACAGAAACCCCCUCAUCUUCCCAGAGACUCCCCUACCUCGAGCCGUAUUCCGUGCCUCUCUCCCAUAACUGGGGAUGAAGUGUCCUACUUGUAUCAAAAACUCCUCUCUGGGGUGAAAGGACUAAGGAAUUACAGCUUCAUGAUCAGAGUUUGGGUUUGGGGGUGAUGAAGAAUGUUGGAAAUCACACCAUCUAAGUGUACAGUGUUGUGAAUGGAAUUAAUUCCACUAAAAAUAGCUACCAUGGCAAGUAUAUAUAUUUUACCACAAUAAAAAAAUUUUUUUCUUUUAAAUCCUAGCCCUCUGACUUGGGCUGUAGAAGCCACUCAAGGACCUUCUUCCUGCAGGAUUCCCUCUGGGCCCCACGCCAUCAGCAUCCGCUGUCUUCCCAUUUCUCCCUUCACCACCCGCCUCCGCUUGGAAGUUUCGAGGUCACUCAUCCCUCUCCUCAGUCACCACUGAGCCUUCCAUCCUGACCCAUCCACAGAGACUGGCCAUAGGAGAGACAGAUAAGCUCUAUGCAUCCGACUGAACGGCCACUCAGCCUUCCUGAUACCCUUGUGACUCCAAAGACACUGUCCUUCCCUGCCUCCUAGGAAGCUCCGCCUGGAUCUUUCUUUGCUCUCUCCUCUGCCUGCUAACAUGUCCCCAGGACUCUGUUCCAGGCUCCCUUCCCUUGUCCCCUCACGCGACAUGCCUGGGUGACCUCAUUCAGUCACGUGUUUUAAAUGCCCAUGAAGACCAGAGUUCCCACUACGGCACGACGGGGACUCAGGUUUGAUCCCCGCAGGGCACAGUGGGUUAAGGAUCGGGUGUUGCCUCAGCUUCGGUGUAGGUCGUAACUGUGACUCGGAUCUGAACCCUGGCCUGGGAACUCCAUACGCCUCCCAAAGGCCAAAAAACUAAAAAAAAAAAAAGUCCCUAUGAAGAUAAAUAAACCCCAAACAUCCGUCCCACAUCUCCAAUCCCUCCCUGGCUCCCAGAUCUCCGUAGCCUCCUGUCUACCAGGCACCUCCACGCUAAUGGCUUUCUGUCCCAAACCAGUCGAGGCCUUUCAGAUGGCACUGUUACCCACCCCAUCGCUGGACUCAAAUCAUUAGUUAUCUCCUUGGUCCUAUCCUUCACCUCUCACUGUUGAUUUGGCAAGUGCUGUCACCUAUUCCUCUGCGACACAUGCCACAUCUGUCCACUCUUCUGCGUCUCCGUUCCCCCAUCACCUAGACCACAGCAACAGCUUGAUCUCAGGACCUCCGGCUUCCUUCUUGCCCUCAACAUAACAGGCAGACUCCUCCUUCCCCCACAACAAAAAAUAAAUUACAUCAUCCCAUACCCCAGCUUAAACACCUCCAAAGGUUUUCACUGAGCUUCCCUGAGUAUCUAAACUUUUUACGUGAUCUGAGUCCAGCCUGCAGCUCUCCAACCUCAGGAAGCAUGUUCCACCUCGUCCACUGUGUGCCACCCACUCUAGCCAUUCUCCUGGUCCUCUAACUCAGUUCUCAGCCAGGGGUGGUUUUGCCUUAGGGACACUUGGAAUGUCUGGAGACAGUUCAGCAGAUUUGCAGUUCAGACAGUUUGCAGUUUAGAGGGAAGGGGGUUAUCUAAUGCCUGGAGGUUGGGGGGUGGCCAGGAUACUGCUAAACAUCCCACAAGACACCGGAAGGCCCCAGAUGAAAAAUUAUCUGGCCUGAAAUGUCAGCGGUGCUGCUAUGAAAUGAAUAUUCGUGUGCCCCUAAAUUCAAAUGUUGGAGCCCCAGUCCCCAAUGUGACGAUAUUUGGAGAUAGGGCCUUUGGGAUAUACUUAGGUUUAUUUGAAGCCAUGAAGGUAGGCCCCCCCCCAUGAUGAAAUGAAUUCCCAUAUAAGACAAGGAGGCUCCUUCUGCCACGAAAAGACACAGCAAGAAGGUGACUGCAAAUCAGGAAGCAGCCUUCAACAGAUACCACAUCCACCAGCACCUAGGCUUCCCAGCCUUCAGAACUGUGAGAAAUGACUGUUUGCUGUUUAAGCCACCAUAAAUAUUUGUUAUUUUGCAAUAGUAGCUCAAGCUGAUUAAGACACGUGCUAAGGUUGGGAAAUUCCUGCAAAUUGCUAAAGAAAAUAGGCACCAGUCUCCUUCUGGCCCCAGGGCCUUUGUACAAGCUGUUCCCUUGGCCUGAAAGUCUCUUCCUCUACUCCCUCCACGGCUCACUGCUUCUUGUCGUCAUUCAUAGCCCACCUCAUUUUCCCAGCGAUCUGCCUGAGCACCCAUCCUGAAAGAGAACCUCCGGCCCUGUCAGGAUCCCAUCCCAUUUUAAUUUUCCAAAUGCACAAACUACCUGAUAGUUUUCUUAUUUUAUCUGUUUAUCAUCUGAUUCCCUCACUAAACUUGUUUCUGAAGAGGAAGAAUCUUAUCUGACCUGCUCACCAGGGCCUAAUAGUGCUUGUUGUCUAGUUGGUCCUUAAGGAAUACUUGGGGAACAAACCAUUUUCCAGUUCAUUAACCUUGAUCCCCAAAAUAUGUGUAAGGAUCAAGUGUACACAUUGUAUGAGCAAUAGGUCCUGCAGGAUAUUUAGACUGAUGACACAGCCACCUCGAAGCUUACAGCCACCUCAGAAGGAAAAACAUGCUUUUACACACCUCGGGCAGAACAGGACACCCCCCCAUAGGACAUGGUGCAGCAUCGGGGGGGAUGAAGGGCACAAACUGUGCUGUGAGGCUGCGCAUGCCCUCUGAGGGCUGAAGGGUCAAGAACGUGGACUUGGAGCCCAGACUAGAAGAGUCGAAUCCCAGCUGUGUCCCUUUCCCCUCGACUUUUAAUCUGUGUUUCAGUUUCCUCAUCUGUUACGUGGAGAUAAUGAAAGUAUCUGCUUCACAGCCUCGCUGUGGAUUUAAAUGAAUUAUAUGAAGUAAAGUGUGUGGCGACAGAGGACACGGUAGCUCCGGCUACUCGUGUUCAAAGAAAGGCGUGAUCACGCAGGACUAGCGACAGGCAUGAGGGAAGAGCUGACUUUUGAGAUAAGGUGAAUUUCAAUGGAAAAGAUGAUAGGGCCUUUUCAGGGGAAGGAUUAUGUUGUACAUCAACGCAGAUGCGCCACGGCUGGAGUGUUGCUUAGGAAUAGAGUCAGGUAAACAUCCAUUUUUUUUCCUGUUCACCCAUCUGUGUAAAGAAGGCUUUUUUUUUUUAAUGAAGCAAUGGAUGGAACCAGGCUCAUCCACUGAUCCUAUUAUAUCAGAAAACGUGAGCAAUCUGGUCACCAAAUCACCAUAUCCCUUUCUUUCUAUUUUUUGUUUUUAAUUUCCAUCAUGGUUUGGUUAAAAAAAAAAAAAAAAAAAAAA
ensembl:lncRNA